UACAGAGGGUGCGAGCGUUAAUCGGAAUUACUGGGCGUAAAGCGUGCGUAGACGGUUAUUUAAGUCGGGUGUGAAAGCCCCGGGCUCAACCUGGGAAUUGCAUUCGAGACUGAAUAGCUAGGGUACGGUAGAGGGAAGCGGAAUUUCCGGUGUAGCGGUGAAAUGCGUAGAUAUCGGAAGGAACACCAGUGGCGAAGGCGGCGACCUGGGCCAAUACUGACACUGAGGUGCGAAAGCGUGGGGAGCAAACAGG
rnacentral:rRNA from 1 species